rnacentral:rRNA from 1 species
CCUACGGGAGGCAGCAGUAGGGAAUCUUCCACAAUGGGCGAAAGCCUGAUGGAGCAACGCCGCGUGAGUGAAGAAGGAUUUCGGUUCGUAAAACUCUGUUGUAAGGGAAGCGGUACCUUAUUAGAAAGCCACGGCUAACUACGUGCCAGCAGCCGCGGUAAUACGUAGGUGGCAAGCGUUGUCCGGAAUUAUUGGGCGUAAAGCGCGCGCAGGUGGUUUCUUAAGUCUGAUGUGAAAGCCCACGGCUCAACCGUGGAGGGUCAUUGGAAACUGGGAGACUUGAGUGCAGAAGAGGAUAGUGGAAUUCCAAGUGUAGCGGUGAAAUGCGUAGAGAUUUGGAGGAACACCAGUGGCGAAGGCGACUAUCUGGUCUGUACUGACACUGAGGCGCGAAAGCGUGGGGAGCAAACAGGAUUAGAUACCCUUGUAGUC